CCCUUAGACGCUCUAGGCGGCACGCGCGCUACAAUGGGUGGUAGAACGUGUAACUGCUCCCGAAAGGGAGGGUGAACCACGAAUACUUACCCGUGAAUGGGAUAGUUUGUUGCAAUUUUCGGACUUGAACUAGGAAUCCCUUGUAAGAAUGCUCAAGAAUAGCGUGCUGAAUACGUCCCUGCCGUUUGUACACACCGCCCGUCGUUUCUUCCGACUGAUACUCAUUGUGAGUUGCAAGGAUUCUUAUUGAAAAAGUGCUGCGAAUGCUUUGUAUUGGAGGAAGAAAAAGUCGUAACA
rnacentral:rRNA from 1 species